rnacentral:lncRNA from 1 species
AGCUUUCCAGGAGGAGUGUCCUGGCACCUGGAGCCCCAGAGGGGAGCUCCCCCACGCCGGGGGCCAGCGCCCACUCUGGCUCCCUCCUCUGCGUGUUCACGAUAUUCACACCAAACCUCCCGCCAGGUUUCUCACUCCUCUAGCUGCAAGAACCUGCCCUUGCUCCUCGUGAAGAGGAGGGUCCAGGCCAAGGGAGGCAGGUGGUACACCCCAGCUCAGCAUGCAGCACCCCCAAAUCCAGUCAGGGGAACAAAAGGAGGAAGGAGGUGGCUUACCUUUAGAAGGUCGCCUUUGUUUGGUUUGCAGAGACGAGAAGGUGCCCAUGACGGCCCCCAUGGCAGCGAAGACUUGUGUGCGACUUGGGACCCCUCGCCCUGCCCCUGCCCUCCCCUGGAAAGAAACCAGUGUGGCUCCUCUACUCCGAAUUGGAGGAGGACACAAAAAAGCACCCGGCAGCUCGCCUGCAGCUUGGUAUUCAGCGAGCGUGGGGCUGGGGCGCCGGGAGCCUUGUCUCCCCUUCUUCAGCCCCGCACAUGCACUGACUCACGGCCGGGCGCUCCCCGCGAGCCUUCGGAACCGGGCCGGGCUGUUCGCGCGCCGCGGGCCCAGGACGCUGCCCGCAGCCCGCGCGGUGCCGGCCCCCGAGCCAGCCGCGCUCCGCCCGCCCCUGCUGCCGCGCUGCGCCCCGCUGCGCUCCCGGCGCUCGGCGGGCUCUCGGGGCCGGGACCAACCAUGAAUGAACAGCGCCAGGGACGGCGCGGGGCGGAGGAGGCGGCGGCGCGGGCCGGCGGGCGACCGGGGGGCGGGGCGGGGGCCGGGCCCCGAGGGGCGUCCGCAGCCGCAGCCGCAGCCGCAGCGCUGCCCCCCGCCCCGCGCGCCCGCACCUGUGAGCGCCGCGCGCCGGGGCGCACCGACCCGCGUGGGCCGGCGCCUGGCGGUGGGCUCGGGGGGCAGCCGCAGACCGCCCCGGGAGAGCGCGCGCGCGCGUGUGUGUGUCCCUGCGUGCGAUGCACUAUUUCACCUGACUUAAAGGAAAUCUUAUUUAAUCCACCCUCCGAAUUCAUCGGGUGGGGGAAAUAA